rnacentral:rRNA from 1 species
UACAGAGGGUGCAAGCGUUAAUCGGAAUUACUGGGCGUAAAGCGUGCGUAGACGGUUAUGUAAGUCAGAUGUGAAAGCCCCGGGCUCAACCUGGGAAUUGCAUUUGAGACUGCAUAGCUAGGGUGCGGAAGAGGGAAGCGGAAUUUCCGGUGUAGCGGUGAAAUGCGUAGAUAUACGGAAGGAACACCAGUGGCGAAAGCGGCUUCCUGGUCCAGCACCGACGUUCAGGCACGAAAGCGUGGGGAGCAAACAGG